CUGCUUUCUGUGUGGCCUCUACCCUCCACCCAGGUGUUACAACACCCUGGUGUGUCUUCAUUAGUCAUAAGACGUGGAAUAUAGGAAGAGCACACUUCU